rnacentral:rRNA from 1 species
AUUUCGGGCUCGGGCAGGCUGUCGGCCUCGGUCGGACGGCAGGCUCGGGCCUUUCUGCCUGGGGACUCCGUCACACUUAACUGUGGGGCGGUUGGACGCAGGCCGUUUACUUUGAAAAAAUUAGAGUGUUCAAAGCAGGCCUACGCUUGAAUACAUUAGCAUGGAAUAAUGGAAUAGGACUUUGGUGCUAUUUUGUUGGUUUAUGGGACCGAAGUAAUGAUUAACAGGGACAGUUGGGGCCGUUUAUAUUUCGUUGUCAGAGGUGAAAUUCUUGGAUUUACGAAAGAUAAACUUCUGCGAAAGCAUUCGGCAAGGAUGUUUUCAUUGAUCAAGAACGAAAGUUAGGGGAUCGAAGACGAUCAGAUACCGUCGUAGUCUUAACCAUAAACUAUGCCGACUAGGGAUCAGUGGAUGUCAAUUUGCGACUCCAUUGGCACCUUGUGAGAAAUCAAAGUUUUUGGGUUCCGGGGGGAGUAUGGUCGCAAGGCUGAAACUUAAAGGAAUUGACGGAAGGGCACCACCAGGAGUGGAGCCUGCGGCUUAAUUUGACUCAACACGGGGAAACUUACCAGGUCCAGACAUAGUAAGGAUUGACAGAUUGAAAGCUCUUUCUUGAUUCUAUGGGUGGUGGUGCAUGGCCGUUCUUAGUUGGUGGAGUGAUUUGUCUGG